rnacentral:rRNA from 1 species
UACGGGGGGGGCAAGCGUUGUACGGAAUUGCUGGGCGUAAAGGGCUAUAAGUUGGCCAACUAAGUCGGACGUGAAAUCCCUCGGCUUAACCGGGGAACUGCGUCCGAUACUGGUUGGCUUGAGUUUGGGAGAGGGAUGCGGAAUUCCAGGUGUAGCGGUGAAAUGCGUAGAUAUCUGGAGGAACACCGGUGGCGAAGGCGGCAUCCUGGACCAAUACUGACGCUGAGGAGCGAAAGCCAGCGGAUUAAACGGG